AAUGGGAGAGAUGGGGAAAGAUCAUAGCCCACGGGGUGCUGGUUCAGAAUGUCCUCCCAAAUUCAACUUCUCCCUCUGGGCAAGAUGCCUUUUGGGGUCUGUGUUGGGUUUCUUCUUGCCAUUCUGGAAGGCAAAAUUGGCAAAUUUGGAGAGGAUUGAAGGAGAAGCAGAGAUGGUGGUGGAGGUCGCGGAGAAUGUGGCGGAAGUGGUGGAAAAGGUAGCCACGGUGGCGAAAAA